rnacentral:rRNA from 1 species
GCACUUUAAAGGAACCGCCGGUGAUAAGCCGGAGGAAGGUGGGAUGACGUCAAGUCCUCAUGGCCCUUACGGGUUGGGCUACACACGUGCUACAAUGGCGCAUACAGAGGGUCGCUACCUGGCAACAGGAUGCCAAUCUCAAAAAGUGCGUCUCAGUUCGGAUUGGAGUCUGCAACUCGACUCCAUGAAGUUGGAAUCGCUAGUAAUCGCGCAUCAGCAAUGGCGCGGUGAAUACGUUCCCGGACCUUGUACACACCGCCCGUCAAGCCAUGGGAGUUGGGUGGACCUGAAGAUGGUUGCUGUAAGGCGCUAUUUAGGGUAAAACCAGCGACUGGGGCUAAGUCGUAACAAGGUAGCCGUACCGGAAGGUGUG